rnacentral:rRNA from 1 species
UAGGGAAUCUUCCACAAUGGACGCAAGUCUGAUGGAGCAACGCCGCGUGAGUGAAGAAGGUUUUCGGAUCGUAAAGCUCUGUUGUUGGUGAAGAAGGAUAGAGGUAGUAACUGGCCUUUAUUUGACGGUAAUCAACCAGAAAGUCACGGCUAACUACGUGCCAGCAGCCGCGGUAAUACGUAGGUGGCAAGCGUUGUCCGGAUUUAUUGGGCGUAAAGCGAGCGCAGGCGGAAGAAUAAGUCUGAUGUGAAAGCCCUCGGCUUAACCGAGGAAUUGCAUCGGAAACUGUUUUUCUUGAGUGCAGAAGAGGAGAGUGGAACUCCAUGUGUAGCGGUGGAAUGCGUAGAUAUAUGGAAGAACACCAGUGGCGAAGGCGGCUCUCUGGUCUGCAACUGACGCUGAGGCUCGAAAGCAUGGGUAGCGAACAGGAUUAGAUACCCUGGUAGUCCAUGCCGUAAACGAUGAGUGCUAAGUGUUGGGAGGUUUUCCGCCUCUCAGUGCUGCAGCUAACGCAUUAAGCACUCCGCCUGGGGGAGUACGACCGCAAGGUUGAAAC